UGGAGAGCAUAUGUGACAAAGGACAUGUCACAACUCUUGGAAAUCCCUUUUCUGGCCUCAAGAUGCUCCACUUAGGAAUUGGCUAAAAGGGAAGAACUGGGACUUAGAAUGAAUCAAGGAAGUCAAACUGAUGGGCUUGUUUAAAGGAAAAUGGGAUCUUUCCAAAUCUAUGGCUCCGGAGACCUUCAGAUCACUUUCUGGCAUGGGGUACUUGGCUGGAUCCCUUUGUCUGUGCACAGAGGAGGACUAGGGCAGGGAGAAGAGACUAGGACCAGGAUUGCCUAAUCUGCUUGGAGACAACACAGUGAUCCUUCUGGUUUACUGGAAGGUGCCCUGACCUUGGAGCCACGAGGCUUGGA